AGAUGCAUGACAAUACGAACUCUUGAAGAUGUAGUGGAGUAUAUGAGAACAUAUUCGGACGGAAAUUAUUUCCAAGGAGAGUUCAGUGAUCUCCUGUUUGUGAGGAAUCCAAUGAUGGAUAUUCAUCUAGAGAUCGGAGAGGAGGGAGUGAUGUUCUCACCCAGCCUAGCAGAUACUAGGGAGAUACUAGUCUCUUGUCUCAGGGAGAUAGUGGAGAAUAC